CGACUUACGUUCAGUAGCGAGCUUAACCGAAUAGGGGAGGCGUAGGGAAACCGAGUCUGAUAAGGGCGCCUAGUUGCUGGACGUAGACCCGAAACCAAGUGAUCUAUCCAUGGCCAGGAUGAAGGUGCGGUAACACGCACUGGAGGUCCGAACCCACUAAUGUUGAAAAAUUAGGGGAUGAGCUGUGGAUAGGGGUGAAAGGCUAAACAAACUUGGAAAUAGCUGGUUCUCUCCGAAAACUAUUUAGGUAGUGCCUCAAGUAUCACCGACGGGGGUAAAGCACUGUUAUGGCUAGGGGGUCAUCGCGACUUACCAAACCAUUGCAAACUCAGAAUACCGUUGAGUGCGAGCUUGGGAGACAGACAUCGGGUGCUAACGUCCGGUGUCAAGAGGGAAACAACCCAGACCGCCGAUUAAGGUCCCGAAGCCAUAGUUAAGUGGGAAACGAGGUGGGAAGGCUUAGACAGCCAGGAGGUUGGCUUAGAAGCAGCCAUCCUUUAAAGAAAGCGUAAUAGCUCACUGGUCGAGUCGUCCUGCGCGGAAGAUGUAACGGGG
rnacentral:rRNA from 1 species